rnacentral:misc_RNA from 1 species
UCUACGGCAUUAGAAGC